rnacentral:rRNA from 1 species
GACGAACGCUGGCGGCGUGCCUAAUACAUGCAAGUAGAACGCUGAAGACUUUAGCUUGCUAAAGUUGGAAGAGUUGCGAACGGGUGAGUAACGCGUAGGUAACCUGCCUACUAGCGGGGGAUAACUAUUGGAAACGAUAGCUAAUACCGCAUAACAGCAUUUAACCCAUGUUAGAUGCUUGAAAGGAGCAAUUGCUUCACUAGUAGAUGGACCUGCGUUGUAUUAGCUAGUUGGUGAGGUAACGGCUCACCAAGGCGACGAUACAUAGCCGACCUGAGAGGGUGAUCGGCCACACUGGGACUGAGACACGGCCCAGACUCCUACGGGAGGCAGCAGUAGGGAAUCUUCGGCAAUGGGGGCAACCCUGACCGAGCAACGCCGCGUGAGUGAAGAAGGUUUUCGGAUCGUAAAGCUCUGUUGUAAGAGAAGAACGUGUGUGAGAGUGGAAAGUUCACACAGUGACGGUAACUUACCAGAAAGGGACGG